CUUUCUUUGCUGGCGACCGGCGCACGGGUGAGUAACACGUAUCCAACCUGCCCUUUACUCGGGGAUAGCCUUUCGAAAGAAAGAUUAAUACCCGAUAGCAUAAUGAUUCCGCAUGGUUUAAUUAUUAAAGGAUUCCGGUAAAGGAUGGGGAUGCGUUCCAUUAGGUUGUUGGUGAGGUAACGGCUCACCAAGCCUUCGAUGGAUAGGGGUUCUGAGAGGAAGGUCCCCCACAUUGGAACUGAGACACGGUCCAA
rnacentral:rRNA from 1 species